rnacentral:rRNA from 1 species
UACGGGGGGGGCAAGCGUUGUUCGGAAUUACUGGGCGUAAAGGGCUCGUAGGCGGCCAACUAAGUCAGACGUGAAAUCCCUCGGCUUAACCGGGGAACUGCGUCUGAUACUGGAUGGCUUGAGUUCGGUAGGGGAGACUGGAAUUCCUGGUGUAGCGGUGAAAUGCGCAGAUAUCAGGAGGAACACCGGUGGCGAAGGCGGGUCUCUGGGCCGAUACUGACGCUGAGGAGCGAAAGCGUGGGGAGCGAACAGG